rnacentral:rRNA from 1 species
UACGUAGGAGGCAAGCGUUGUCCGGAAUCACUGGGCGUAAAGCGCGUGUAGGUGGCAGAGGAAGUCUGCUGUGAAAGCGCCUGGCUUAACCGGGCGAGGUCGGUGGAAACUCCUCAUCUCGAGGGCGGUAGAGGGAGGUGGAAUUCCGGGUGUAGUGGUGAAAUGCGUAGAGAUCCGGAGGAACACCUGUGGCGAAGGCGGCCCCCUGGGCCGCACCUGACGCUGAGACGCGAAAGCGCGGGGAGCGAACGGG